CCCUUAGAUGUCCUGGGCCGCACGCGCGCUACACUGAUGCAUUCAACGAGCCUAUCCUUGACCGACAGGUCCGGGUAAUCUUUGAAUCUGCAUCGUGACGGGGAUAGAUUAUUGCAAUUAUUAAUCUUCAACGAGGAACGCCUAGUAGGCGCAAGUCAUCAGCUUGCGUCGAUUACGUCCCUGCCCUUUGUACACACCGCCCGUCGCUCCUACCGAUUGGGUGUGCUGGUGAAAUGUUCGGAUCGGCCGUUUGUCGCGGUUUCCGCGUCAUGUGGCUGAGAAGUUCAUUAAACCCUCCCACCUAGAGGAAGGAGAAGUCGUAACA
rnacentral:rRNA from 1 species